AACCUUUUUCCUGUCAGUCAUUCUUUUUCUCCCGUCUGUUCCGCCGCUCAAGUGAAAAAAAGAAAAGAAAAGAAAGAAAAUACCCCUGCUGCUACCUCUUGAUAUUUUUCUUGCAUUCCUCUUCUCUGGAGCACGCCAUGUCUAGGAGAGACAUGGGGAAAAAAAAUUAUCACAUGGGAAUGCAAUCUGAUAUUGGAUCAAGAAUAUUAAGCAAGGGAUUCCAAGUGAUUUCGAGAGGGCGUUGUGAGUGUUGUUAGUUUGUUUCCUCGGGUUUAUGAGACUCGGGAUUAGGUGGAAUUGAGGAUUGUCAACUUCUUAGAACGAAGCAAAGAAUAAUUCGAGAUUGUUAUUGUCUUCUAGGCGAAGGUUAAAUAAAGUCUUUAAUGUUUAGAUGAUGAAUUGAGAGUUUGUAAUAAUGAGAUUCUUUCUUUAGGUUGAGAUUUAUUUGGAGUUGAGGAAUAUUUAUUUUUAUCAAGUUAAUUGGCUUAGUUGACUUUUGGGAUUAUAGAGAAUAUUUGUUGUUGGUUUUAGUUCAAUGAAGAGAUUUGUUUUAGUGUUCUUUUAA